UGGGGAAUAUUGCACAAUGGGCGCAAGCCUGAUGCAGCCAUGCCGCGUGUAUGAAGAAGGCCUUCGGGUUGUAAAGUACUUUCAGCGAGGAGGAAGGCGGUAAGGUUAAUAACCUUAUCGAUUGACGUUACUCGCAGAAGAAGCACCGGCUAACCCCGUGCCAGCAGCCGCGGUAAUACGGAGGGUGCAAGCGUUAAUCGGAAUUACUGGGCGUAAAGCGCACGCAGGCGGUCUGUCAAGUCGGAUGUGAAAUCCCCGGGCUCAACCUGGGAACUGCAUUCGAAACUGGCAGGCUAGAGUCUUGUAGAGGGGGGUAGAAUUCCAGGUGUAGCGGUGAAAUGCGUAGAGAUCUGGAGGAAUACCGGUGGCGAAGGCGGCCCCCUGGACAAAGACUGACGCUCAGGUGCGAAAGCGUGGGGAGCAAACA
rnacentral:rRNA from 1 species